CGAGCGGGGGAAAGUAGCUUGCUACCUGAAUCCUAGCGGCGGACGGGUGAGUAAUGCUUAGGAAUCUGCCUAUUAGUGGGGGACAACCUUCCGAAAGGAAUGCUAAUACCGCAUACGUCCUACGGGAGAAAGCAGGGGACCUUCGGGCCUUGCGCUAAUAGAUGAGCCUAAGUCCGGAUUAGCUAGUUGGUGGGGUAAAGGCCUACCAAGGCGACGAUCUGUAGCGGGUCUGAGAGGAUGAUCCGCCACACUGGGACUGAGACACGGCCCAGACUCCUACGGGAGGCAGCAGUGGGGAAUAUUGGACAAUGGGGGGAACCCUGAUCCAGCCAUGCCGCGUGUGUGAAGAAGGCCUUAUGGUUGUAAAGCACUUUAAGCGAGGAGGAGGCUACUAGUAUUAAUACUACUGGAUAGUGGACGUUACUCGCAGAAUAAGCACCGGCUAACUCUGUGCCAGCAGCCGCGGUAAUACAGAGGGUGCGAGCGUUAAUCGGAUUUACUGGGCGUAAAGCGUGCGUAGGCGGCCAUUUAAGUCAAAUGUGAAAUCCCCGAGCUUUAACUUGGGAAUUGCAUUCGAUACUGGAAUGGCUAGAGUAUCCGGGAGAGGAUGGUAGAAUUCCAGGUGUAGCGGUGAAAUGCGUAGAGAUCUGGAGGAAUACCGAUGGCGAAGGCAGCCAUCUUGGCCUAAUACUGACGCUGAGGUACGAAAGCAUGGGGAGCAAACAGGAUUAGAUACCCUGGUAGUCCAUGCCGUAAACGAUGUCUACUAGCCGUUGGGGCCUUUGAGGCUUUAGUGGCGCAGCUAACCCGAUAAGUAGACCGCCUGGGGAGUACGGUCGCAAGACUAAAACUCAAAUGAAUUGACGGGGGCCCGCACAAGCGGUGGAGCAUGUGGUUUAAUUCGAUGCAACGCGAAGAACCUUACCUGGCCUUGACAUACUAGAAACUUUCCAGAGAUGGAUUGGUGCCUUCGGGAAAUCUAGAUACAGGGGUUGGGUCCCCCCCUCGCAUUGGCUGUCGUCAGACUCGUGUCGUGAGAUUCGUUUGGGGAUUAAGAUCCCCGCAACGAGCGCGAACCCUAUUUUCCUUGGGACCCUUAUGCCAGGUCCCCAGGUUUAAAAUCGGAUGGGGGCGGGAACUUUAAAGGGAUACUGCCCCCAGUGACAAACUGGAAGAAGGCGGGGGAACAAAC
rnacentral:rRNA from 1 species